rnacentral:rRNA from 1 species
GAAUAUUGGGCAAUGGACGAAAGUCUGACCCAGCCAUGCCGCCUGCAGGAUGACUGUCCUAUGGAUUGUAAACUGCUUUUAUAUGGGAAGAAACCCCUGGAUGCGUCCGGGGCUGACGGUACCAUAUGAAUAAGGAUCGGCUAACUUCGUGCCAGCAGCCGCGGUAAGACGAAGGAUUCAAGCGUUGUCCGGAUUUACUGGGUUUAAAGGGUGCGUAGGCGGAACUCUAAGUCAGUGGUGAAAGCUCCCGGCUCAACCGGGAAAUUGCCAUUGAAACUGGUUUUCUUGAAUACAGUGGAGGUAGAUGGAAUAUAACAUGUAGCGGUGAAAUGCUUAGAUAUGUUAUAGAACACCGAUUGCGAAGGCAGUCUGCUACACUGUCAUUGACGCUGAGGCACGAAAGCGUGGGGAGCGAACAGG